CUGUAGGUGGUGUCUCUCUGU
rnacentral:piRNA from 1 species